AUUGAACGCUGGCGGCAUGCUUUACACAUGCAAGUCGAACGGCAGCGCGGGCUUCGGCCUGGCGGCGAGUGGCGACGGGUGAGUAAUGCAUCGGAACGUGCCCAGUAGUGGGGGAUAGCCCGGCGAAAGCCGGAUUAAUACCGCAUACGACCUGAGGGUGAAAGCGGGGGACCGAAAGGCCUCGCGCUAUUGGAGCGGCCGAUGUCGGAUUAGCUAGUUGGUGGGGUAAAGGCUUACCAAGGCGACGAUCCGUAGCUGGUCUGAGAGGACGACCAGCCACACGGGGACUGAGACACGGACCAGACUCCUACGGGAGGCAGCAGUGGGGAAUUUUGGACAAUGGGGGCAACCCUGAUCCAGCCAUGCCGCGUGCGGGAAGAAGGCCUUCGGGUUGUAAACCGCUUUUGUUCGGGAAGAAAUCCUCUGGGCUAAUACCCCGGGGGGAUGACGGUACCGGAAGAAUAAGCACCGGCUAACUACGUG
rnacentral:rRNA from 1 species